ensembl:misc_RNA Gm24576 predicted gene, 24576
GCCGGGCGUGGUGACACGCACGCCUUUAAUCCCAGCACUCGGGAAGCAGAGGCAGGUGGAUUUCUGAGUUCGAGGCCAGCCUGGUCUACAGACUGAGUUCCAGGACAGCCAGGGCUACACAGAGAAACCCUGUCUUGAAAAAACAAAACAACAACAACAAAAGGCAGGGUUUCUUUGUGUAGCCUAGCUGUCUGUUAACUCACUCUGUAGACCAGGCUGACCUCGAAUUCAGAGAUUCGACCUGCAAUUU